rnacentral:rRNA from 1 species
GUCGAGAAUCUUUAGCAAUGCCCUAACGGGUGACUAUGCGACGCCGCGUGAGCGAUGAAGGCCUUCGGGUCGUAAAGCUCUGUCAAACCGGAUGAAAGUUCAGCGUUUUAAUAAAACGCUGGAUUGACAGUACGGUAAGAGGAAGCCACGGCUAACUCCGUGCCAGCAGCCGCGGUAAUACGGAGGUGGCAAGCGUUGUUCGGAUUUACUGGGUGUAAAGGGUGCGUAGGUGGUUAGGCAAGUCAGAUGUGAAAGCCCAUGGCUCAACCAUGGAAUUGCGUUUGAAACUGCUUAGCUUGAGUGCGGGAUAGGAGAGGGGAAUUCUCGGUGUAAGGGUGAAAUCUGUAGAUAUCGAGAGGAACACCAGCGGCGAAGGCGCCUCUCUGGAACGCAACUGACACUGAUGCACGAAAGCGUGGGGAGCAAACAGGAUUAGAUACCCGUGUAGUCC